UGAGCGUGGGCUGGACCUAGUGACUUGCUUCUUCCAGGUAAAAUGCAGCAGAAGUGGAUGUCUCUUUCGAGAUUAGGUUACAAAUGGACUGUGAUUCUUUCAUGUUUUUGCAUGUGCUGUCUGUCUGUCUCUCUCUCUAAGGAAAGACACCUGCCACGUUGGGAUCUGCCCAGUGGAGAGGCACAUCUGGCAAGGAAUUGAUGUCUUCAGACAGUAGCUCAUGAGGACCCGAGGCCUUCCAAGAGCCACAUGACUGGUGGAGAUGGAGCUGUAGUUUGUGCCCAUGGAGCAGCUUAAACACUAUCUGCCCCAACCCGCCUGAGACUAUCCGCUCCCCAGUUGGCAGUACUUAAAGGAAAAAAGGCAAUCCACCCAAGCUCCCAGCGAGCGGGAGUCCCAAGAGUCAUGACCAGGAUCUCGUAGCAAAGUGGAAUUCAUCUCUAACAGGAAAUUGAUAGCUGCCCGGACUUCGUCAAUUCGGAUACGUCUGCCCCUGGCCUGGAAUGGAGGAAUGGUGUGCUGGAAUCUCCCCUCAGGAAGGCUGGACUUCUGCAAAUUCCCUCUCAUGCAUGAGUAUCUGCCCAGGUC